GACGAACCGUGCGAACGUUGUUCGGAAUCACUGGGCUUAAAGGGCGCGUAGGCGGGCUGACAAGUCUGGGGUGAAAUGCCGCGGCUUAACCGUGGAACUGCUGGGCAUACUGGCGGUCUUGGGCCAUUCAGGGGCGACUGGAACAAGCGGUGGAGCGGUGAAAUGCGUAGAUAUCGCUUGGAACGCCGAAGGUGAAAAACAGGUCGCUGGGGGAUGUGCCGACGCUGAGACACGAAAGCCAGGGGAGCAAACGGG
rnacentral:rRNA from 1 species